UACAGAGGGUGCAAGCGUUAAUCGGAUUUACUGGGCGUAAAGCGUGCGUAGGCGGUUUGCUAAGUCGGUUGUGAAAGCCCUGGGCUUAACCUGGGAAUUGCAGUCGAUACUGGCAGGCUAGAGAACGGUAGAGGGAGGCGGAACUCCAGGUGUAGCGGUGAAAUGCGUAGAUAUCUGGAAGAACACCGAUGGCGAAGGCAACCUCCUGGGCCUGUUCUGACGCUGAGGCACGAAAGCGUGGGUAGCAAAC
rnacentral:rRNA from 1 species